CUUAAAUGCAUUACGUUUGGCUCAGGUAGAAUUUAUUUCUCUAUAAUUACCAAUAGAGAAAUAAAUUCUACCUGAGCCAAACGUAAUGCAUUUAAG
rnacentral:pre_miRNA from 1 species